rnacentral:lncRNA from 1 species
UUGGAUUCUGACAAACCUGUAUUUGAGGGAAUAAAUAUCUUCAAACUCAAAUGACAAGGUCUGACCAGAUUUCCCCUUUAAUGUGGGAAGAGGCAGGCACCAAUCGCAGAGCUGGCAUCUUUGCAAAGGAAGGUGGAUGCUCUGACUGGCAGGAAGUGAGCUUUAUUGACACCAGCGAGAUCUGGUUUCUUCACAACCAUGAAAUCAUACAAUUUAAAGAAACCAAAAGAGCU